rnacentral:rRNA from 1 species
GUACGUGAAACCGUUCAGGGGUAAACGGGAGAAAUCCUGAAUUCGAAAGGGGUUGGAUUCAAGUCCGACCGUUCUGCGCAGGCCUCCUGGCCCCGCCAGAUGGCGCUGGUCGCCCACGGUGAUUCAUUUCGCUUGUGGUGUCGUUCCCUGCGAUCACUCGGUGGGGUGGUGUUGCUCUGGCAGCGGCGGAAUGCACUUCCCCCCUAGUAGAAACGUCGCGACCCGUUGGGUGUCGGUCUAAGGCCCGGGAAGGCAGCCCGUGUGUCCCGUGGGUUGUUCUCACAGGCGCGCGGACUCUCGGUGUCCCGGCCGGCUGCCCGACGGUAUGACCAGAGGAGUCGAUCCGCUGAAUGGGAAACACUUUGGCUGUGUAGCGUCCGGCCCGGCGACGACGCGCGUGGGGAUUGAGGUGCAAACCGGGGGUGUCCGUGCGAAGCACGGCCCCGGCCCCACGUCGCUGUCGAAUCUGUCGGUGUCCUCGGACUGGAUCGUGCUCCC